rnacentral:rRNA from 1 species
CUUGGUCGUUUAGAGGAAGUAAAAGUCGUAACAAGGUUUCCGUAGGUGAACCUGCGGAAGGAUCAUUACAGAAUGAAAAGUGCUUAACUGCAUUUUUUCUUACACAUGUGUUUUUCUUUUUUUGAAAACUUUGCUUUGGUAGGCCUUCUAUAUGGGGCCUGCCAGAGAUUAAACUCAACCAAAUUUUAUUUAAUGUCAACCGAUUAUUUAAUAGUCAAAACCUUCAACAACGGAUCUCUUGGUUCUCGCAUCGAUGAAGAACGCAGCGAAAUGCGAUAAGUAAUAUGAAUUGCAGAUAUUCGUGAAUCAUCGAAUCUUUGAACGCACAUUGCGCCCUUUGGUAUUCCAAAGGGCAUGCCUGUUUGAGCGUCAUUUCUCCCUCAAACCCUCGGGUUUGGUGUUGAGCGAUACGCUGGGUUUGCUUGAAAGAAAGGCGGAGUAUAAACUAAUGGAUAGGUUUUUUCCACUCAUUGGUACAAACUCCAAAACUUCUUCCAAAUUCGACCUCAAAUCAGGUAGGACUACCCGCUGAACUUAAGCAUAUCAAUAAGCGGAGGAA